AAAAGGAAUUGUGAAGCCAUUUAUUAAAAUGUUUAAUAUUCAAAUGUUGUAGGAUAGAGAGUGUGAUGAAGGCAAAGGGAUGUUAAUAAUAGAAACAGUCAAAGGAAGCAGGGUGUUUAGUACUGUACAGCAAGGUAUCUCAAAAGAUCUCCUGUACUUUCCGAAAGUGGGCGCAAAUUGAGUUCUGAGGUUUUUGUUUUUUUUGUUUUUUUAAACAGCAGGAACAUGAAGUACAAUUAUUUAAGAAGCCCCAUCAGUUGGUUACAAGAGUCUCUGGUUAAUGAGGGGUUUGGAUUCUUGACUUCCUGUUAAUUGAGGUUUUGCUAUAUAAGGUUUUCCUGUUUUGUAGAUGAAACCGCCGCUGCUGUCAUGUCCAGGUGUGUGGUUCUGUCGCAAGCAGCACCUCUCACCCACCACGUCUGAGGGAGCCCUGCUGAUGGGCCUGUGAGUUGCUCGGUCUCGUCUGGUUCCAGCCACAGUCUGCUCUGAAGGAAAGAAAUCACCUGCUGUUUCCUUCUAGCAGCAGCAUUCAGCCACCCCAGCAUUUGACCUUGGGUUCCUCUGUGUCUUCUCUGUAAAACCAAACCUCUGGAAUAUUUCAGUGAAUUAAUAAAAGUGGCUUGACUGCCAGAGUCUGAAUAUAAACUCCAUCAAUUUUAAGGAGUUUAAAGGUCUCAUCCUCUCCCAUCCCAAGGUCUCAUCUUCUCCCAUCCUGCCUACGCCCUAUGCCCUAAAAUACAGUAGCAGCUAAACUGAUGGUUAUGGUAGAAGAUGAUCCAAUUGGUGACUAAAGAUUAAUUUUAAAUACAUUGGAAGGGAAUAUUAAACAUAGAAAAAAUGACCAAGGACACCUGGAUACUCAUCUUAGUGCUGAAAGACAAAUAACAGCUUCAAUUUCUCACCACUAGCACAGAUCUAAGGAUUAUUAUUACCAAGGUGGGAGUUUUGUCUGGCUUUGAGAUUCUGCUUUGAUUUAUCUCUGGUAGGUCCAUGGAAAUUUCUUUUUUUUUUUUCUUAUUUUUUUUGUCUUUUUGCCCUUUCUAGGGCCACUCCCACAGCACAUGGAGGUUCCCAGGCUAGGGGUCUAAUCAGAGCUGUAGCCGCCGGCCUACACCAGAGCCAGAGCAACUCAGGAUCCGAGCCACGUCUACAACCUACACCACAGCUCACAGCAAUGCUGGAUCCUAACCCACUGAACAAGGCCAGGGAUUGAACCCACAACCUCAUGGCUCCUAGUCAGAUUCGUUAACCACUGAGCCACAACGGGAACUCCGGAAAUUUCUUUUAAUCAGAUGACAACAUGGCCCAAAUGCACGAAUUGCCUUUGGGAUGGCAUGUUCCACUAUUAAAGGGCACCCAAGGAACAGGGGAGGAGAGAGACAAGGAGGGAGGGAGAAGAGAAGGCAAAUAGGAUGCACUGAAGACAGAUGUGCUUCUAAAAAUAAAUAAGCUGAAAGGAUACAUUGUACAACACAGGAAAUACAGCCAGUAUUUUAGAAUAAUUACAUAUGGAGGACCAACUUUAAAAACUGAAUUACUGUGGUGCACACCUGAAACAUAUAAUAUUGUACAUCAGCUAUGCCCCAAUAAAAAAAAAUAAUUUUUUAAAUUAAAAAUUUAUUCUCUUUGAAAUAUUAAGCCCUUUAUCACUUUCUGGAAAAAUCAUGAUUCCCCAGCUCAUCCUUUUUCAAUUUACUGUUUUGUUUUGGUUUUGGGGUUUUCUGGCUAUGGCAUGGAAGUUCCAGGGCCAGGGAUUGAGCCCAAGCCACAAUAGCAACCCGAGCCACAGCAGUGACAAAGCCAGAAACUUAAUCUGCUGGCCACAGGGAACUCUACAACUUAUUGUUUUAGGUUUUAGUAUUUAUAAGAGUUUUGGUUUUUAAGCCACUGGAUAUACAGCAGUAUACAAGAAAACACAAGCAAUCUUGUGGGAAAGCUCAUGAGUUGAGAGCCUUGGGAGACUCCAGUUCUAGCACUGGCCCUGCCAUUGACCAGCCCUGUGGGCACAGGGAAGAACCAGACCCCCAAUUUGUAAAACAAGUGACUGUUGCAGUCACCCUUUCAUCCUGAACUUCCACUGAAAACUUGAUGCAAUGUAGUGGAUAAGGUUAACUGGUGUUGGAUAAUGCCUGCCUUAAAUCAUGAUUUUGCUAUUUAUUUUGUAACCAUGCUAAGCCUCCAUUUCCUCACUUUUUUUUUUAGAGCUGCACCUGUGGCAUAUGGAAGUUCCGAGGCUAGGAGUCAAAUCGGAGCUAGGGCUGCCAGUCUACACCACAGCCACAGCAAUUCAGGAUCCAAGCCGUGUCUGUGACCUACACCACAGCUCACAGCAGUGCCAGAUCCUUAACCCACUGAGCAAGGUAAGGGAUCAAACCCACAUCCUCAUGGAUACUAGUCAGAUCUGGUAACUGCUGAGUCAUGAAGGGAACUUCCCUCAGUUUCCUCACUUAUAAGACAAAUAUAAUGAUACUGAAUAUAUCAUCUAUUUCAAAGAACAGGUACAAACAUUAAGUAAGGAUGUGUAUAAAGUACCUACCCAGGCAUUGGCAUACACUAAGCCUUAAAAAAAGAAAAAAAAAAAAGUUGCUUACUGUUACUGGUAUUAGGAAUCACCUAGAAGAAACAGGCUCCAACACAGAAAGCACAAGUCAUUUUAUAUUAAUAACAAGGAUGAAAGUGAAUCUUCUCAUUAAACUUUUUUCUCAUUUCAAAAAUAAUAUCUCAUUCUAAGAAUUCCACACAAUCAGAGUUCCCAUUGUGGCUCAGUGGGUUAAGAAUCCAACUAGUAUCCAUGAAGAUGAGGGUUCGAUCCCUGGCCUUGCUCAUUGGGUUAAAGGAUCCGGUGUUGCCACAAGCUGCGGUGUAGGUCACAGACACAGCUCAGAACUGGCAUUGCUGUGGCUGUGGCGUCGGCCGGUGGCUGCAGCUCCAAUUAGACCCCUAGCCUGGGAACCUCCAUAUGCUGCAGGUGUGGCCCUAAAAAAGACAAAAAAAAAAAUUACAGGAAAUACUUUUUAAGCAUUAGUUCUUCUGAGGAAAGAUACUCAGACCGUGAGGCAGAAUUUCUUCUAAAACACAACUUUGGAGAUAAAAUAACUAAAUGAUUUUAAGUGGUGGCACUACUGAAUCCAAGUCUUUCAAACUUCAAAAGUCAUCCAUCCAUUAAGCUGCAGAAUGCACAGUUCUAAAAGGCUAUAUACAAUCCCUAUAAUGCAUGUUCUCUCUUUUGGGGGCUCUGUCAUUUUAAAGAUUAUUUCCUUUCAAGGAGGAACAUGAUGGAAACCAGGACCAAAACGUUUCUCCUCGGCCCCCUGCUUGUGAUGGCCCUGUUUCCGGUCAGCAAGCAGCAGCUGCUGUUGAUAUCCAGUUGCCAUCUUCCUCCGCACCUGCCCACUCAGCCUAGCAGAGAGAAUUCACAGCAAGCAUAGCCUCGGAGCUAAGAGCCUGGCAGCUUUCCAGGGUCUUGAUACAUGACUAGGAACAAGAUCCUGCCUUACCACACAAACUUACCAUGGUUUAUAGGUGAUGCUAAUGAAACAGCACAAAAUGUAUUUAUGAAGAUAGAUUUGUUCUAAGCAGUUUAGGAGAUAGAUAUGGGAUCAUGAAGAGGAAGACGGAAGACGUCACCAGGGUUUUUAGUCCUUGUGCCCCUUGAAAUAAACCAGACACAGAAGAGCAAAUAUUGUCUGAUUCCAUUUACAUGAGGUCCCUAAAAGAGGCAAAUUCAUAGAGACAGAAAGGAGAAUUGGGUUACCAUGGGUUGAGGGGAGGGGAGAAAGGGAGGUUGUUAUCUAAUGGAUCCUGAGUUUAUGUUGGAGAGGAAAAGAAGUUUUAGAAAGAGAUAGUAGUGGUCAUGGUUAUACAACCUUGUGCAUGACCAU
rnacentral:lncRNA from 1 species